CUCUCAGGAGUCUAUUCUCUCCUUCGACCAUGUGAGUCCUUGGAUCAAACCCAGGUAGGCUUGGUAUCAGGCACCGACCGACCGUCAUCUUCCCUUCUGCCAGCCCCCAUUUGGAAUUCUAACAUGAGCUCGGUGGCUGUGUGGGACUGGGAGGAUGAGUCAUGAAGAGCUUUAGGAGAAGGGGCCCCUUUGGAAGUUGCGGAGAUAUUUUUUAAUCGGAUGAGUUCAUCAACAUUGUGAAUGAUUGGGUCCAUUCAUAAAAUGACAAAUUGUAGGCCUUGUAGAUAUAUAAUGUUUAAAAUUUUUUCCACCUUUCUGCUGAGUAAGUUCAUGAGCAGGCACACACUGGAGAUGGAAACUGGCUUUUCUGCCGACCUUCGUCCCAUACAGACUAAGCAGGAAUGAGACCUGGGCCAUAAAGUGAUCUCUAGUCUCGAGAAGACUAAGAAACAUGAUGGAGACUCUCCUCCUUGAACUACCAUUACGUACAAUUCCCAGGAAAGGAAACAGGUUCAGAGGAAGUGAGUGUACAUGGAGCUGAGCCCUGGCUGGCCACGGCCAGAGUCGGGGCAUGCGCACUUACACAGCAUUUCAUGGCGACAGAAAACAUGGGCUUCCUCACAGGGUGUGAGACUCCUCCUCGAGACCCAGCAUGAGUAACUGUCUUACAGCCCGCUCCCACGGAGCUAUUCUGUGUGCCAGACCACAGCAUAACAAAGCCAGGCUUCCUAUGGUCUGACAGUGUUUGCUGAAAUCUGCUUACCUUCCCAACCUCCAUUAGGAACAAGGGUUGAGUUCACAUAAGCGCUUUCCUGGAGUCUGUUUUUAUCUGAACCUGUGCUGCUUAACUGCUGGGCACUGCUCUAAAGCCGGGUCUAAGUUAACUCUGCUGUGUGUGGGCUAAGAGCCACAUAAAACAAGUAGAGGAGAGACUUGAGGGAAACAGCCAUCCUCAACCGUCUGCUCUGUAAGGAACCCCCAAUAAGGAGUUAGAAAAUGUGGCGUGCUUGUUCCUUCCUUCCCUUGGUGGUUUCGAACAGAAGUUGGCGGCAUUCCCUUCGGUCCUGGCACACGUGCUGUUGAACCUCCCAGGGAAGCCCAUGGUCUGUGAGGAUCCCGACCUCCUCACUGCAACUUCACACACAGUUCAGGGGUACCACUGUGUGCACACAGUCCUCUCUGGAUUAGGAAGUCCAAAAACCACCCCUUAGUCUAGGCCAAUCAGCCCAGGCCAGGAUCCCAGAACAGUACAUCCUCAAUAAAAAACAGCAGCUAAAAAACAAA